rnacentral:rRNA from 1 species
ACUCAAAGGAAUUGACGGGGGCUCACACAAGCGGUGGAGGAUGUGGCUUAAUUCGAGGCUACGCGAAGAACCUUAUCCUAGUCUUGACAUGCUUAGGAAUCCGGGUGAAAGCUCGGAGUGCCCUUCGGGGAGCCUUUGCACAGGUGCUGCAUGGCUGUCGUCAGCUCGUGUCGUGAGAUGUCGCGUUAAGUCGCUUAACGAGCGAAACCCUUGUCCUUAGUUGCCAGCGGGUCAUGCCGGGGACUCUAAGGAGACUGCCGGUGUUAAACCGGAGGAAGGUGGGGAUGACGUCAAGUCCUCAUGGCCUUUAUGACUAGGGCUGCACACGUCCUACAAUGGCGCGCACAAAGGGAUGCAAAGCCGCGAGGUAGAGCAAAUCUCAAAAAUCGCGCCUCAGUUCAGAUUGUAGGCUGCAACCCGCCUACAUGAAGCUGGAAUCGCUAGUAAUCGCGGGUCAGCAUACCGCGGUGAAUGUGUUCCUGAGCCUUGCACACACCGCCCGU